rnacentral:lncRNA from 8 species
CUCGCCCGCGCGCGAAUGGACUGGGUCCUGGGUCCGGCUUCCUUUGAUCUCGGUGCACGUGCACAGACGAAGUGCAUAGUAUGACUCAUGCGAAAUCAGCCAGCAUUUAUUGGACCGUGGGGGCCACUGGCAGCUACGGAUCAAUUAUAACGAACUGAAAGCAUCAGCCGCUUUUGUACAACAUUUCGCGGAUUCCGUGAGAUAUUCGGUACCUUGCUUGGAGAGAUUCAGUUGGGAUGAUACAGUAUUAAUGGUUAUUAACAGGAAGAUUCCAACGUGAGGAUUCCCCCGUGAAAAAUCAGUAUGGAUUGGACAGUGUCAGAAAGCACUUUGAUAGGAAUUGAAAGGCACUAUGCUGGUGAUCGGCAGGCCCGUACCAAGAGUAUAGGACACAUGGCUGGUAAGUGGAGAUUCACACUGGCGUUUAUCACACGCACACAAUAUUACAUGCACACAAUAUUACAUUCACGUUCUGUGACUGUCUCUCUCUCUCUCUUUCUCUUUCUCUCUCUCUUUCUUGCACUAAAGGGACUUUUCACCCUCUCUUUCUAUCCUGCUGUUUUUCUCCCUUCCUGUUUGGUCAAACACACCUCUUACACCUCUCACUAUAUUACUCUUUUUAACUCUUUAUUUAUUAACCCACCCAGCCCAUACAAGGACAUGUUUAGACCAUACAGCUGUUAUUAAAGACACUUAACAAAUAUUGCCUCUGUGAAUUACUCUUGAGUACAAAAAAGUGUUAGAAUGUGUUUGGAUGUGCCCCCCUUCCAAGUUCCUGUGUGUACACGUUUGGCACAGUGCAGUCGUCAAUCAAAUGGGUAUUGUGUAAUUUCUCGUAGCCUGGCCUGGCCUGUGUACCAGCAGUUAAACUUUAGGCCCGGGUCCAGGACAUCUUCUGUAGCCUAGCCUACACUCUACACAACGCAAAGCUCUUUAAUAACCUGUAAUGAGCUCCUACUGCGAUUUUAAAGAACUGUCAGAAAUUUCAGCUCUGCCAAUGGUUCUGUGAUUAAGCCCCUCAGGACCUAAACCCGCAUCUCCCCACUCAUUCUAUACCCCCCUCCAAAAUCCGCCAAACACCCAUUCUCAAGGAACAAAUCACACAUUAUUGUAUCCCUGCGUGGUUUUCCUGGGAAUGUUCCUGGUAUUUAGUCGUUUUAAAGAGAAGUUUGGCAUUAGGUCAUUUGGAGCAGUUUCAGCUGUAACGGACUGUACCGUGUUGGCUAAAUACUUAACAGGGCCCUGGGGUGAUACAGUGCAUUCAGAAAGUAUUCAGACCCCUUGACUUUUUCCAUAUUUUGUUACGUUACAGACUUAUUCUAAAAUGUAUUCAAUUAAACAUGUUCCUCAUCAAUCAACACACAAUACCCUAUAAUGACAAAGCGAAAACAGGUUGAGACAUUUUUGUACAUUUAUAAAAAAUAUAACAGAAAAAAACGUAUUUACAUAAGUAUUCAGACUCUUUGCUAUGAGACUCGAAAUUGAGCUCAGGUGCAUCUUGUUUCCAUUGAUCAUCCAUGAGAUGUUUCUACAGUUGAUUGGACAUGGUUUGGAAAGGCACACUCUUGUCUAUAUAAGGUCCCACAGUUGACAGUGCAUGUCAGAGCAAAAACCAAGCUAUGAGGUCCAAGGAAUUGUCCAUAGACCUCUGAGACAGGAUUGUGUCGAGGCAUAGAUCUGGGGAAGGGUACCAAAAUAUUUCUAGCAGCAUUGAAGGUCCCCAAGAACACAGUGGAAGAAGUUUGGAACCACCAUGACUCUUCCUAGAGCUGGCCGCCCGGCCAAACUUAGCAAUCGGGGGAGAAGGGCCUUGGUCAGGGAGGUGACUAAGAACCCGAUGGUCACUCUGACGGAGCUCCAGAGUACCUCUGUGGAGAUGGAAGAACCUUCCAGAAAGACAACCAUCUCUGCAGCACUCCACCAAUCAGGCCUUUAUGGUAGAGGGGCCAGACGAAGACUGUUCCUCAGUAAAAGGCACAUGACAGCUAGGGCUGUUACGGUGACCGUACUUCCGCCGCAUGAUAAUAGUCCAUUCUAAAUCAAAACUAAUUUCACACAUAUAUAUUAUUUAGUAUAUGUAAAGACAAGAUUAAAUCAAGAAUAGUCUGAUGGGUGUCUAUAUUAGCCUAUCACUUGUGAAUGAUAUAUUAUCACUUGUGAAUGAUGCCCAGCAUAAGGCAAGAAACAGUGCCUUCUUUUAUGCAACUUUUUCAAAUUAUAAUUGCACGCCUGAUGUAGCCUAGCCCAUAGGCCUAAAUGUUUUGAUGAGAUUUGUAUCACAGCUAAAGGGGCCACAACUUCUUAAAAUGAAGCAUAAUGAUCCGCUUUUCAAAAUGGGGGAAGAUCAUUUUCACCAUAAAAAUGCACCUUUUUAAUAAAAGCAUUACAUGCAUAAUCGCAUUUGCGUUCACUUUUGAGAAUAGUGUUUUCGCAUAUAGCCUACUGCCGUGUGCGCAUUGCGGCGCUUAUAAUUUGAAAAAAUAGCCUAAUAGUUCAGCAACAUUUUAAGCUAAACAUUCUGAUCUGUUGCGUCAGGCUCAUUGCUUAAAACAGUGUUUCUUUAUGCUAGUGGUUGUAUUAAUUUGGGUCUAUCGCAUCCCACAACUGUCCUAGACUAUGUUUGGAAUAUUUAUUUCUUGCACAGAGAGAAAGAAUAUAGUAGAUUGACAUAGGCUAGUGCUUUUGCUGUUCGUUAUGCUUACUCAUCUUGUUGGCUGACAAAAAGUAAAUGUGUCCAAUAUUUUCAAUAUGUGCCUCGGAAUUGGAUAAGGAUGCUCGCAGUUGCGUCCUUGAUGUGUCUGUUUUCACUUGUAGCCUUCAAGAAAGACCCGAUCACGUGACGGAGAGCCAUGUGAGUGAGAGGUGCUUCAGCACGUAGCCGGGAGAAGGGAAUUAUAAUGAUUAUAUUCAGCCCAAGUGCACAACGGCCACUAGCUGCAAAAGGUAUGGAUUUUUUUGGAGGGCGUUACAGCCACACAAAGGGGAUGCAGCCAGGAAAUUCGAGGCAUUAUCAAGUGCUUGUCAAAUUGUGACUGAUGUAGUGUGUACAGCCUGAGUUUAAAAAAACAAAGCAGAGCUCGUGUCUUUCAUGCGACUUUUUUCAAAUCAUCAUUAGAGUUGCAUCAUGCAGCCAUAGAAUGUAUUAAAAUCAAAACAUAUUUGAUUGAUUUUACAUUUGUAUCACAACUAAAGUUACGUAAAUAAGUAUAAAGCAGUACCUGUUUCUUUGUCAACCGCUCAACACCAAG